rnacentral:rRNA from 1 species
UACGGAGGGGACUAGCGUUGUUCGGAAUUACUGGGCGUAAAGCGCACGUAGGCGGAUUUGUAAGUCAGGGGUGAAAUCCCGGGGCUCAACCUCGGAACUGCCUUUGAUACUGCAAAUCUCGAGUCCGGAAGAGGUGAGUGGAAUUCCUAGUGUAGAGGUGAAAUUCGUAGAUAUUCGGAAGAACACCAGUGGCGAAGGCGACUGACUGGACAAGUAUUGACGCUGAGGUGCGAAAGCGUGGGGAGCAAACAGG